UACGAAGGGGGCUAGCGUUGCUCGGAAUCACUGGGCGUAAAGGGUGCGUAGGCGGGUCUUUAAGUCAGGGGUGAAAUCCUGGAGCUCAACUCCAGAACUGCCUUUGAUACUGAAGAUCUUGAGUUCGGGAGAGGUGAGUGGAACUGCGAGUGUAGAGGUGAAAUUCGUAGAUAUUCGCAAGAACACCAGUGGCGAAGGCGGCUCACUGGCCCGGUACUGACGCUGAGGUGCGGAAGCGUGGGGAGCAAACAGGG
rnacentral:rRNA from 1 species